rnacentral:lncRNA from 1 species
AAAGAAUUAGCUUCUAUGAAACUCAAGGAAACUAUAAGUGAAAGUGUCCGAAAAAGUUAACAUGGGAUAUAUAUUUAUAGGAUAUGUAAUUACUUGGUAGGAUAUAAUAGAAUUUCGAUGUAAUUUAAGUUCUUAAAAUUGGUUUAGAUAUAAUAUAUAUUUUUUAUUAAAUACUAUAAAAAGUUAUUAUAAAAAUUGAAAACUUAGGUCCAUUAUUUUAAGUUUUUACUAUUUUUAAUUAAACUUAAAUACUAAAUUGCUUGUUCCUCCUCCACUUGCAUUGCAUUGCAUUACUGGGUGAACCUGUGAAGAACCAAGUAAACCAUCAAUUUUUCUAUUCAAAAUUUCUACCUAAUUAGAGAGAUGGUGACCGAAUCAACGUUAAAAGCGCCGAUUGCUUUCGUUGGCUUUGUCCUUAUGACUUGCCACUGAUAAUUAUUCAGUGACAUCUCUUCUAUAAAUUCAUAAGCCUCCUCAGGUGUCUUAUUAUUGAUAGUCCCACUAGCAGCUGCUUCAAUCAUCUGUCUAGUCAAAAGAUUCAGGCCAUUGUGAAAAGUUUGAACCUGUAGCCAGAGUGGUAACCCGUGGUGAGGGCACCUUCUCUAUAGAUCUUUGUAUCUCUCCAUGCAUCAUAGAGUGUUUCUAGAUCCAUCUGCACAAAAGAAGAGAUAUCAUUCCUCAACUUACCCGUUUUAGCCGACGAAAAAUAUUUAAGUAAGAAUUUUUCUGUCAUUUGUUCCCAAGUAGUAAUUGACCUUCGUGGUGACGAGUUCAACCACUGUUUAGCUUUGUUCCUCAAUGAAAAGGGAAACAACCGAAGGCGAAUUUCAUCUUUGAAACGCCAUUGAUCUUAAAUGUGUCGCAAAACUCCAGAAAAUUCGUCAAAUGAGUAUUUGAAUCCUCAUCCUGCAAACCAUCAAACUGAACAAACUGUUGUAUCAUUUGAAUCGUGUUAGGUUUCAGUUCAAAAUUAAUUGCAGUAAUAGCAGGUCUAACUAUACUCGAUUCGGCUCCUGUUAAAGUAGGUUUAGCAUAAUCAUACAUAGUACGGGGAGCAAGAUUCUGAUUUAUUGGAUCUGCAGCAACCAUAGGAGGAAGUUGAUUAUUCUGAUUUUCAGCCAUCUCCUCGGUUGUGAUUUGAAUAUCGUCCUCUUGUCCUUCCUCUAUGUCACAUAAGCUUCGCCUAAUUUCUCUUCGGUUUCUGCGAGCUAUGUGUUCUAUCUCACUAUCAAAAAGUAAUGGUCCUGAUGGGUUUCUUCUAGUCAUAAACUAUAAAAACCUGUCAGAAGGAGAAAGAAAAUUUAGUAACAAAAAUCAACAUAAAAUUUAAAUUGCAAUAAAAUAAAUUGCUAAAAUAAUAAAAAUUAAGUGUUCCUAAUAUUUUAUUUCCCUGACAACGGCGCUAAAAACUUGAUAAUCGUUAAAUCGUGAUAAGUUUUAAAUUUAUAAUUCACCGUACUUGAAAACUAACUAUUAUCACGAUGAAGGCAAGUGCACCUAUCGAACAACAAUAUAGUUUAUAGCAAGACCGAGAUGUCGAACCCACAGGAACUAAAAGUACUAGUAUUAACUCUCUUUUUAUUAUCUAGCCUAAAAAAUAAAAGGGUUUGUUUUAUCUAAAUUAAUUAACUAAACUAAGAAUGCACAGGAAGAAUGUAAUAGGCCCAUUUCGCCCGGGCCCAUAAAAAACCAAAACCAAAAUAACACAAACAAAAAUAAAAAUAAUAUAAAAACCCAAAAACAAUAAAAGUCCAAAUUUAUUAGUCCAAACAGUCCAUUUACAGCCCAAAUUUCAGAACCCAUUAACUCAAAUUGUAGUGGCCCAGUAAUAAGCCCAAUAACCCAAAGUCUUGCAGGAAUAGAAACUUUAGGGUUUCUUUUCCUCUUGCGCCGCAGCCCUCACGAGCAGCCUCGCCACAUCGCACGUGUUCCUCUGUGCCUUCGUACACUCCCAUGAACGACUUCUCCAGCUGGCUCCUCCUGCAGCAGACUAACAGAAACAACAAACAGGCCAUGGACAGUAAAUAACAGCAGAGAAAUUUGUAUUUCUUAUUUAUUUCUUAUUUUUUAUUUUUAGUUUUCGGAUAUAAAACUGAAUGAAAUGGAAUGUAAAGAGGAUCAAUCUUUUUCCCAGCAAUACACACGCAUAUUAAAAAAGAGCAAUCAAAAAUUAAAAAGGUGAUUUCCAAUACGAGUUUCUCCAUACUUUUUAAUUUUCUUGCGAUUCAUUUCCUUCUAUCUUUCAUCAUUGAUUUCAGAAAUAAAAAAGGAGAGAGCGAAGUCUUACCUUACGAGGAUGCCAUGAGUUUCCUUUUGCUUCGUUGAAAUCGAAGCUAAGAGGGGACCUCAAGGCUAAAAAACAAUCAUCGAGGCUUGAAUAUGCUACUGUGGUAGCCGAUUGAUGUUUAGGCAAAAGGGAAUUAGUCGGCCAAGGUGGAAAGUAGGAGAAAAGGGGGGUUAGGGAUUAAUUUCAGUAAAAAAAUAGCAGAGUACCAAUCGUUUUUAAUUUUUAAUGGCAAUCGUUUUGAAGCUUGAGAUAUUUAUGUCUUAGGUCCUUGAUCAUUGGUACAUGUUUCUUUUUAAUCUUUUUUUUUCCUUCAUUUACAAAUUGACCUCUUAAUCUUAUUUUUCAUUUCAACCAAGUUUUGUUUAGUUUAUAUGCUUACUCGC